AUGGAAAAAUUGGAGAAAGGAAGAAGAAGUUGUCAAUGGAGAUCCGCUGAUGAACUCCUCUGCCUUCAACCUUUGACGAUGACAUUCAACACCACGUCUGUAAUCCAGAGAAAACCAAACUCCAUGAUGACGCACCCUUUCCAACUCCGACCAGCAGCCCUCCGUCACUCUGAUCGCGAGUCGUAUACACCUUAA